UACGUAUGGUGCAAGCGUUAUCCGGAUUUACUGGGUGUAAAGGGAGCGUAGACGGAUAGGCAAGUCUGGAGUGAAAGCCCGGGGCUCAACCCCGGGACUGCUUUGGAAACUGUUUAUCUAGAGUGCUGGAGAGGUAAGUGGAAUUCCUAGUGUAGCGGUGAAAUGCGUAGAUAUUAGGAGGAACACCAGUGGCGAAGGCGACUUACUGGACUGUAACUGACGUUGAGGCACGAAAGUGUGGGGAGCAAACAGG
rnacentral:rRNA from 1 species